GCGCACCCAUAUUGUCCCUCCAAAAGCACUGGUUGUUUAAAGUAAUUCAAGUCUAUGUGCAUGGAGAAGUACACGAAAAAUCCGCACCUGCUAGUGCCACUCUCAAUACUUCUCCUUGUUUGCUUUGUUGUUCAUGUUCAAUGUGGGAGAAUUGAAGACAUAGGAAACCGGAAGAUCAAGCUACCACAUGGAUUGUGUGCACCACGUAAACAAAUUGGAAAAUGCAAGAACUAUUGUUGGUGUUGUUUAGUGAGUCCAACCCCCUUCACAAACAUUUGCUAUGAGACGCCUGAAGAUUGUGAUGAGUAUUGCCGAGUUUGAGUUACAUGUUGAGACUCUCGAAUUAAUCAAAAAUAAAUAAAGUAAUUAAUCUUUGCGGCA